rnacentral:rRNA from 1 species
CCAUGCCGCGUGCAGGAAGACGGUCCUAUGGAUUGUAAACUGCUUUUGUACAGGAAGAAACACUGGUUCGUGAACCAGCUUGACGGUACUGUAAGAAUAAGGAUCGGCUAACUCCGUGCCAGCAGCCGCGGUAAUACGGAGGAUCCAAGCGUUAUCCGGAAUCAUUGGGUUUAAAGGGUCCGUAGGCGGCCUUAUAAGUCAGUGGUGAAAUCUUCUAGCUCAACUAGAAAAUGGCCAUUGAUACUGUAGGGCUUGAAUUAUUGUGAAGUAACUAGAAUAUGUAGUGUAGCGGUGAAAUGCUUAGAUAUUACAUGGAAUACCAAUUGCGAAGGCAGGUUACUAACAAUACAUUGACGCUGAUGGACGAAAGCGUGGGGAGCGAACAGGAUUAGAUACCCUGGUAGUCCACGCCGUAAACGAUGGAUACUAGCUGUUUGGAGUAAUCUGAGUGGCUAAGCGAAAGUGAUAAGUAUCCCACCUGGGGAGUACGAACGCAAGUUUGAAACUCAAAGGAAUUGACGGA